rnacentral:lncRNA from 1 species
CCCGACGACAUGUCGUCGGGAUAGUUUUUCCCGAAGGCAUGUCCGGAUUGACCAGACUUUUCCCGACGACCAUUUAGUGUCUUGCAGUGAACUUUAAGUCAUUGCAAAGAAGUGUUUGGAACAGGUUAAGUGGGUUGUCAAUAUCCAAACAAUUUUCAAAUAUAAAAUAUAUAAUAAAAAAAAAAUCAAACAACAGUGGUUAUAAAUCUGAUGUCUGGUUACUAAUUUGCAAGUUAACAUUUAUUUCUAGACGGAUUCACUAAACAAACAACUAUACUGGACAAUACUAUAUAGAGGUUUUGAUUGUAUUAUACUACAUAAAUAUGAAUUGUUUGAUAAUGCUUGUUUUUGUGUUUAUAAUAGUCUGGUUUAAGUUUUUUUUUUCGUUGUACAUCAUGCAAAAAGGAAAAGAAUAAGAAGCCAAACUUUUAUAUUCAUAACACAGUAACAUACAUUCUACCAAAGUAAGGUUAAACGUAUGUGCAUAAAUUAUAUUGUAAAUCGCAAGAAUGUUCAUAAAUCUUAAAUUCUAGAAAGUUGUGAGAAAAUUGUAAGCAUAAAAAUGAACUUUAAGCAUUCUUUACGUUAGCCCAUUUGGUUAUGGCUCUUAAAGGGAAGGUCUCAUCGUUCGUAUCCGAACCCAUUAAAAUUCCAUUCCAUCACUAAUCCUGGCGUCAUCAUCAUCUUCGUUGAUGACGUCAUCAAUCUUGCCAAAAUUCUCAAAGUUUUUCAGAAUCAAUCAGUACUGCAUUAUAUUUUCAUUUUGCAAUGCAUAUUUAUAUAAUGUGAGGUGUCUAUAUAACUAAUAUUAUUAGAGAUACAGGCAACCCUAGUUAUAAUUUUGAUGCCUAGUUACUUUGCAAGUUUUUGUAGACGGAUUCACAAACGAGGAUGAGAUUUAUAAGGAUUUCUCGAGCAAACCUUCAAUGGUAUCUUAUGGAAUGGCAUCCAUUCGGAACAGCUUUCAACACGAUAUGUUUUUGAGCUUCAGAAAAGACUAAGGUUUGGAUUUAUACCUCAAUAAGAAGAGGAAGUCGGUUGAAGUGGUUGGUGUCAGUUAAAUCGGUUUUAUGGUGGUGGCAUUGAUUUUAGAACUCGCCAGAAAACUCCAUCGAGUGGGUUUUCUAAUAAAUAAUCAUUUGACACUUUAGCAAUUAACAGUGACCAACAAGGCUUCAGCAUGGAUCCAACUUGUUGUUUUUUCAAAUCUUAGUCUCCUCCUGGGCUCAGAGUUUCCUUCACGUCAGAUAACUUCAUCGUCUUCAAAAUCCGGGUAUGGACAGUUAUCGACAAAGUUGUCCGACGUGAAAGAAACUCUGAGCUCGGGAGGAGACGAAGAUUGAAAAAACAGCAAGUUGUAUCCAUGCUGAAGCAUUGGUGGUCACUAUUGAUCCAACUGCUAAAGUAUCAACAUAUCAGAAUGUGAACAAGCCUAUUUUGGAGAAUUAAACCCUUGGGGUUAGCGCCAAUGAACUUGUGGAUGCUCACAAGAGAGCAACGAUAUAUGGGCUUAAACCCGUUUAUGCAUCCUUGAGAAACAAGUCUACAAACGUUCUGCUUCUAGGAGCAAUCCUUCUGUUGGUACUUUAGUAGUUGGAUCAACAGGGACCACCAAGGCUUCAGCAUGGAUCCAACUUGUUUUUUCAAAUCUUAGUCUCCUCUUGAGCUCAGAGUUUCCUUCACGUCGGAUAACUUCAUCGGUAACUAUCCAUACCCGGAUUUUGAAGACGAUGAACUGAAUGGGUCCACGGAUGAAUUAAGUCGAAGAGAUUUGUGAGAGCGAGAUCCAUGUGAUCGCACCUGAUUGCUUUUCAACAACAUUAAGCAUAUUCUUCACCAACAAGGGGCACUUAUGAUUCAUGUGAUCGCACCUUAUUGCUUUUUCGAAAUGGACUAGAAAAAUAUUUUGGAAAAUCACUUUCUAAUGAUUUAUAAGUUACGCUUU